UAAGGAUCAAGACUCUAGCAAUCCUAAUAGUCCAGAAGGUCGGACAAGAGGACUAGAAGUUCAAAGUCAGCUUCUGCUGCAUAAAUCUGAGGCUAAGCUAGCUCCAUGAGACCUUGCCUCAAAACCCCAAAGAGACCUUUUUAACCUAGGUUCUUUGGGCCUAUAUGGUGGAGGUGGCCGCAACCAAGAGAAAAACGAUAUAUAGAGAACGGUGUUUGUUUUGUUCUGGCAAAACAGAGAUUCAGACAAAGGCCAGAAGAUAAUGGUGGUGCUCCUGAACAGAGGUCUCCUGGUUCAAACUUCCAUCUACUGGAACAAGGUCAGUGAUCCUCCAGGGACUCUCAACUCCCUAUCUACGCACUCUCUACAGCAAAACAUCCUGUGCUUGGGAAAGUCUGAGCUGAACCCUAGCUCCUGUGGCUUCUGCUCAAUCGUAGUUCCUUGUUUGCAAGAAUGAGAGUCAAACAGCAAGCCUUGUGCAUUUUGUAAAGAUAGAAAACAACCCUCCCAGCCCCCCAUUUUACAGUAUUUGGGUUUGGCU
rnacentral:lncRNA from 1 species